rnacentral:rRNA from 1 species
ACUCACUAUAGGGCGAAUUGGGCCCUCUAGAUGCAUGCUCGAGCGGCCGCCAGUGUGAUGGAUAUCUGCAGAAUUCGCCCUUAGAGUUUGAUCAUGGCUCAGAGUGAACGCUGGCGGCGUGCUUAACACAUGCAAGUCGAACGAGAACGGCCCUUGCUUGCAAGGGUGUCAGCUAAGUGGCGGACGGGUGAGUAAUGUAUAGUUAACUUGCCCCUUGGAGGGGGAUAACAGUUGGAAACGACUGCUAAUACCCCAUAUUCCUUCUGUGUUAGUCAUAGAAGGGAAACGGUUUAUUCUGCCAAGGGAUAGGACUAUAUGGUAUCAGGUAGUUGGUGGGGUAAGAGCCUACCAAGCCGAUGACGCCUAGCUGGUCUGAGAGGAUGAUCAGCCACACUGGAACUGAGACACGGUCCAGACUCCUACGGGAGGCAGCAGUGGGGAAUAUUGCGCAAUGGGGGAAACCCUGAUGCAGCAACGCCGCGUGGAGGAUGACGCAUUUCGGUGUGUAAACUCCUUUUAUAUGGGAAGAUAAUGACGGUACCAUAUGAAUAAGCACCGGCUAACUCCGUGCCAGCAGCCGCGGUAAUACGGAGGGUGCAWGCGUUACUCGGAAUCACUGGGCGUAAAGCGCGCGCAGGCGGCUUUGUAAGUUGGAUGUGAAAGCCUACGGCUCAACCGUAGAACUGCAUCCAAAACUACUUAGCUAGAGUCUGGGAGGGGAAGAUGGAAUUAGUUGUGUAGGGGUAAAAUCCGUAGAGAUAACUAGGAAUACCAAAAGCGAAGGCGAUCUUCUGGAACAGUACUGACGCUGAGGCGCGAAAGCGUGGGRASCAAACAGGAUUAGAUACCCUGGUAGUCCACGCCCUAAAACGAUGAAUGUUAGUCGUCGGGGUUGCUAGUCAAUUCGGUGAUGCAGUUAACACAUUAAACAUUCCGCCUGGGGAGUACGGUCGCAAGAUUAAAACUCAAAGGAAUAGACGGGGACCCGCACAAGUGGUGGAGCAUGUGGUUUAAUUCGAAGAUACGCGAAGAACCUUACCUGGCCUUGACAUUGAGAGAAUCCGGUAGAGAUACUGGAGUGCCUUCGGGAGCUCGAAAACAGGUGCUGCACGGCUGUCGUCAGCUCGUGUCGUGAGAUGUUGGGUUAAGUCCCGCAACGAGCGCAACCCUCGUCCUUAGUUACUAACGGUUCGGCCGAGGACUCUAAGGAGACUGCCUUCGCAAGGAGGAGGAAGGUGAGGACGACGUCAAGUCAUCAUGGCCCUUACGGCCAGGGCAACACACGUGCUACAAUGGGUAGGACAAUGAGACGCGAUACCCGCGAGGUGGAGCAAAUCUAUAAACCUACUYUCARUUCGGAUUGUUCUCUUGCAACUUCGAGGAGCCAUGAAGCUGGAAUCACUAGUAAUCGUAGAUCAGCUAUGCUACGGUGAAUACGUUCCCGGGUCUUGUACUCACCGCCCGUCACACCAUGGGAGUUGAUUUCACCCGAAGCGGGGAAGCUAAACUGGCUACCCUCCACGGUGGAAUUAGCGACUGGGGUGAAGUCGUAACAAGGUAACAAGGGCGAAUUCCAGCACACUGGCGGCCGUUACUAGUGGAUCCGAGCUCGGUACCAAA